CACGCUAUUCCGGCGGCCUAAUACAUGCAAGUCGAACGGUAGGUUUUUCUUCGGAGAAACUGAGAGUGGCGCACGGGUGCGUAACGCGUAUGCAACCUACCCUUAACAGGGGGAUAGCCCAGAGAAAUUUGGAUUAAUACCCCAUAGUAUUACAAGAUGGCAUCUGAAAGUAAUUAAAGAUUUAUCGGUUAAGGAUGGGCAUGCGUGACAUUAGAUAGUUGGUGAGGUAACGGCUCACCAAGUCAACGAUGUCUAGGGGUUCUGAGAGGAUGAUCCCCCACACUGGUACUGAGAUACGGACCAGACUCCUACGGGAGGCAGCAGUAGGGAAUAUUGGUCAAUGGGCGAGAGCCUGAACCAGCCAUGCCGCGUGCAGGAAGACGGCUUUCUGAGUUGUAAACUGCUUUUGUACGGGAAGAAAAUGCCCUUGCGAGGGAAAUUGCCGGUACCGUACGAAUAAGCACCGGCUAACUCCGUGCCAGCAGCCGCGGUAAUACGGAGGGUGCAAGCGUUGUCCGGAUUUAUUGGGUUUAAAGGGUGCGUAGGCGGAUCUUUAAGUCAGUGGUGAAAUCCUGCAGCUUAACUGUAGAACUGCCAUUGAUACUGGAGAUCUUGAGUGUACUAGAGGUAGGCGGAAUUUAUGGUGUAGCGGUGAAAUGCAUAGAUACCAUAAAGAACACCGAUAGCGUAGGCAGCUUACUGGAGUACAACUGACGCUGAGGCACGAAAGCAUGGGUAGCGAACAGGAUUAGAUACCCUGGUAGUCCAUGCCGUAAACGAUGAUUACUCGAUGUUGGCGAUACAAUGUCAGCGUCCAAGCGAAAAGCGUUAAGUAAUCCACCUGGGGAGUACGCCUCGCAAGGAGUGAAACUCAAGGGAUUGACGGGGGUUCCGCACAGCGGUGGAGCAUGGUGGUUUAAUUCGAUGAUUACGCGAGGAACCUUACCUGGGCUUCGAAUGGGCUCCGGAAAUUAUUCCCAAAAAUGGAUAAGUCUUCCGAACUGGAAUCCAAGGGGACUGCAAUGCCUGUCGUCAGCCUCGUGCCCGUG
rnacentral:rRNA from 1 species